rnacentral:lncRNA from 1 species
UUUUGCUUCGGGAUGCCGUUGAAGUCCGAACCAAAUAGUAUCCACCUCUUUGCAUUUAUUUUCACUUUAGCCCUUUCUUUUUUUAUUUAAUAUUUUUCUUUUUUGCUCCUUUAAUUUUCACAGUUCCUCAUUACCCACAAAUUCUUUCUCUUGGAGAAGUUAAUUACACUUCAGUAUAACUCUUGGCUAUCAAUUUAGAUAAAAUUUCUCGAAAAUUCUUGUGGGCUUCUUGAAUUGUGAGGAUUCAUUGAUUUUCUUAGGGUUCUUCAAGGAGGAUAAUAUAUUACACUAUUACGGAAUGGAAGGGGAAUAAAAUGAGGAAAUACCUGCAAAUAACCUAAAUAUAAGAGUGAAUUGUGAUAUUAGACCUGAAAAGAUAAUUAUUUUAAGAAUAGCCUUUGAAUAACAAUCUUUCCAAAAAUACCCCUCAUAGAGAAUUUGCAACUAAAAGCAUUACAAUGUAUAAAAGCCUUCAAUCAGGUCCCCAAAGAAAUAUAGAUCAUGAAUCUUUAAUAAAUUUAACCCCAAAUAUUAUAUAAAUUUUAUUGAUUUAAGAAAUGCAACAGAUAAUAAAUUAAAUUAUUUAAAAGAAGAUCUGAAGAGUUUUUUUUACAGAAUAUUUAGAUACAAAAUUAAAAUAUAAAAAUGUUUAUAUAGAUAAUAGAGCAAUCAAAAUAAAAAAUAAUAUACAUAAACUGAUUCUUAAACUGGAAAGAAGAAUUAACAAAUUAAAUAUAAUUAUUAAAGAAAAAGUUUUAACAAAAGAUAGUGAAUUCUAUAAAUUCUAUUAUAAUAUUUUAAAAACUUAUGAAGAUUUUAAUUGGAUUCAAAAUCUUAACCCCUCCGCUGCACACUCCGAAAAAAUGGUAACAGAGCCAUGUUACGAACCUAAAAUUAUAAUGAACUUAGUAGAUGAAGAAAAUAUAAUUGAAGAAUUUUUAAAAAAAGUUGAAAAACAUAAAAAACCAAGUUAUCUCUACUUACCUAAAAACCCCACAAAUGAAAGUUUUGAGGAUAUACACAAAAGACUAGAAAAUUUAGAAUAUAAUCUACAAGUAGGAAAUGUUCUUUUAGAUAAAAACCAUAAAGGAAAAGAUAGGAUUAUAAUUAAUCCACCUCAAGAUUUUAGGAUAACACAAAAAGAAAAUAAUAAAGGGACAAAAAUGAAGAAAAUCAAUAUAUAAUUACAGAUGUAGAAGAACUAGAACAAAAAUUCUUAGAAUCUACAUGUGAAAAGUAUGAUGAAUAUAAAAAACAGUUAGAAGAAUUAACUGAAAAAAUGAAAAAUAUAAAGAUGAAUACUAAUCCCCAUCAACAAGUCGAGAUAUAAAAAUAGAAUUCAGUAGUGAUGAAGAAUAUGAUUAUCCUUAUCAUACAACGAUACUUAUUAAAGAAAGUAUUAAUUAAUAUAGAAAAACACAGAAAAGAUACCCUGGGAAUAUAAGAAAACAAUCCAUAAAAUAAACAAAUCCAAUGGAAUCUUAUAAUGAACUAAUCUACACAACAGUAAUAUGGUUAGAUCUAGACUGUGUAGAUAAAAAUAAAGCUAUUGAAACAUGGACGAAAAGUACAGACUUUGCAAUACAAUUUAAUAAAUGAGAAACAUAUACAGCUUUUGAAUUUAUAGAACAUACAUUCAGAGGAAUUGUUUCUGAAUGGUGGAGAAGGUUAUCAUAAUCUAUAAAAGAAAGAAUAAAGUAUGGAGAAAAUAGAACUGAAGCAUUAGCUAACGGGAAUACUUUAAAUGAUUGAAAUAUACAAGAAAUAUUAAAAAGAUUUGAAAGAGCCUUAAGAGCAGAGUUCUUAGGAGAUAGAUAUGCUUCUAAUGAAGAAGAUAGAAAACAAGACGAAUAUAAUGAAUGAAUGAUAGCAAUGAAAAAUUUAAAGAUAUGUGAUAUGUGUGAAUUAGAAAGAUAUACAUGUAAAUUUGAAGAAUUAUACUAUAUAUUAAAUCAAGAAGAUUAUCAAGAAAAUAAGCCUAUAUUAAAGUCUUAUUUUACGAAGUUACCAUUCCCAUGAGAAAUUAAGUUAUUAAAAGAAUAUGAGAAGUUAUUACCUUUAGGAGAAGAGGGAGGAAUAAAAAUAGAUGGUAUUGAAAGUAGGAUUGAAUUUACAAAAAGAAUGAUAGGCAUGUGGUGCAGAGAAGCUCUACAGAGUAGGAAAACAUAUAAAAUAAGAAAAAAUUUCUUGUGUUGUUACAAAGAUAUAGGCCAAAUUGAACAAUUUGGAUGCCAUAAGAAGAAAUAUAAAUCAUAUAAGAAAUAUAAAAGAAAAUUCAAAAACUACAAAAAAUUAAAGAAAAGAAAUUUUAAACCACACAAAAAAUAUUUCAAGAAAAGAAAUUGGAAUAAAAAAUCCAAACCAAGAAAUAUUAAAAAAUGUAGAUGUUUCAUCUGUAAUGAAGAAGGAUAUAUUGCCCCUCAAUGUCCUAAAAAGAAGGAUAGACAGAAUAUAAAAAUUCUUAGAAUUUAUGAAAAAUUCUAGAAUUUAUGAAAAAUUCUAAGAAGAUAGUGAUAUCUAACCAAUUGAAUAUUUUGAAGAUUUAAGUAGUGAAUGCAGUAGCAUUUAUGAAUUAGAUACAUCCUCAUCAAAGGAAGAUUCUGAGAAGAUAGCAUAUAUGAAUCAAGAGAUACAACAAGCAAAUCUAGAAAUAGAAGUAGAAACAACUGAAGAAGUUGAAGACUCGAUAGAAGGUAUAAAUCAAGAAAUUACCUUUGAUAUUAAAAAAUACAAAGGAAUAACCAAGAAAAUAAUAGACAUACAAGAAAAAGAUGUAUUCUAUCCAGGAUUUUUAGGAGUACUACCAAGAGUAAAUAAAAAAAUUGUAAGUAUGAACUAUAAAGAAAUGUCUAUUAAAAUAGAAGAUACUAUAAGAAAAGCAAUAAUUCCUAUAAUUACAAAAGAAUGUGUAAAAUAAAAGUUAUCCAAAAUUCUGGAAAACAUAAUAAACAAGUUGAAAUGCAUUGAAAUAUAAGGAGUCCAGAUAAUGGUAAAAUGAUUCUUUAGAGAAGGUAUGAACAUACCAAUAGAAAUAUAUUGUAUGGACAACAGAAUCUUACAAGAUCCUAUAAAUGCUUUCUUAGGAACAGUUGUAGGAAACUUAGUCUAUCAAAAAGUGAUAUUUACAGUAAAACCAAAUUAUGCAAUAUCACUAAUUGAUGAUAAUAUUGACCAAAGUUUCAAUCUAUAUUAUAAAAUUGGAAACUUAAAAAUGUUAUGAAAAAGUAAAGCUAUAGUAUAAAUAUAAAAUCAAUUUUUGCCUUUAGUACUAGCCAUCAUAACAAUUUAAGAAAAAUAACUGAUAAUAUUAUUAUACAUAAAGAUUUUGAGGAAUUAGCACAAUAUAUACCUCCUAGGAAAUAUCAAGAACAUGAAGUCACUAUACCAGAACAGAGAAUGCUUGAUUUCCACAAACAAGCUAGAGAAAUUAAUUCUGAAGGAAAACUGAUAAAAAGAAAUAGUGUCAGUCUAGAAGGAGACAGUCUUAUUGCAAGAUUCCACUCUAGACAAGACUCUAAGAUAAGCAAAUUCAAGAAAUUAAGUAUUGCUGAACCAUCAAAUUCGCAAUAUUAUAUCAAAACACGAUAUGUAAAUCAAGAAGGAUAUAAGAAGAAUCUUCUUGUCCUCAUAGACACUGGAGCAGAUAAAAGUCAUGUAAAUGUUAAAUUUGUUAGUCAUUUAAUAGAUUUUGAAUUACUAAAACCAUAUAUAUUAAAGGAUUAUUUAGGAAAUAAUCUCGAAAUAAGAAAAUAUGUAAAGUUCCCUCUUAUACUUAUGGGAGAGGAUCACAAAGAAUAUACUAAAGAAAUAAUUCUAUACAAAGAUGAAUUUUAUGGAGUAGAUCGUUCACCUAUACUGCUAGAAAUGAACUUUCUUGAGAAAUAUAGUCCUUAUAAAAUCUAAUAAGGAUAUUUAAAAAUAACAGUUGAUGAUAAUCCAAUCAUCAUUUCAAGAAUAGAUGAAAAUAUGAAAUCAUUGUUAUCAUGGAAAGAGUAAUCAGUACUAAUUCCAUGAGUCCAUAUAUUGAAAUUAUACUCAAUAUAAAAAGUUAUUGCAGAAUUAAAUUUCAUACUUACUUAGAUACAGGAAGUACAAUAAGCUUAUGCUUACUAAAUGUAUUACCAUCUGAAUACUGAAAAUAUAAUUCAAAGAAGAUCGUCACUGCUACAACAGCAGGUGGAAAUAAAGUAAUAUACAGCAAAUAUGUUACGCAAGUACCUUUUCUAAUUUCCUUUAGAGAAGUAUUUAUUGAUACAAUAUAUAUGUCAAACACAAUUGGAUGUGAUAUUUUAUUAGGACAAAAUUUUCCAUUAAAAUACGCACAAUUUACACAAUAUAUUGAUAAGUAUAUGUUCACAACUCCUUGUGCACACAAAAUAUUUACACCAAAAUAAAUAAGGCUGUUACCAUAGCAUAUAAAGACAUAAACCAUCAAAGUUCCUCAACCCAGCGUGAUGGAUGUUGGAGCACAGAAAAAUUUAAACCAGUUACAGUUCUAAAAAUGACAACAGAAAAUAGGUUAGAAAAAUUGAAAAAAGAAAUUUCUGAAACAUAUUCUGAAAAUCUAUUAGAAAAAUGGAAUACAAACAAAGUAAAUACAAAAAUAGAAUUAAUCAAUCCAGACACUAUAGUAAGAGUCAAACCCAUGAAAUAUAGUGUAGAUGACUAAAAGGAAUUUAAAGACCAGAUAAAAGAAUUGCUAGGAGCCAAUUUGAUUAGGCAUAGUAAAAGCCCACAUAGCAGCACAACCUUUAUGGUUAGAAAACAUAGCGAGAUAAAAAAAGGAAAAGUCAAGAUGGUGAUAAAUUAUAAAAAGUUAAAUGAAGUUAUCAAAUUUGAUGGAUAUUAGUUGCCAAAUAAGGACACCCUUAUUAAGAAAGUACAAAAUAAAAAGAUAUUCUCAAAAUUUGAUUGUAAGUUAGGUUUUUGGCAAAUCAUGCUUACAGAAGAAAGUAAACCAUUAACUGCAUUUAGUACCCCCAAUCCUUUAGGACAAUACGAAUGGAAUGUAAUUCCAUUUAGGUUGAAAAAUGCACCACAGAUAUUUCAAAGAAGAAUGGAUGAGGUAAUUAAACCAAUUACUCAUUUUUGUAUUGCAUAUGUAGAUGAUUUACUUAUUCAUUCAAAUAACAUUGAAAAACAUAUUGAACAUCUUGAGAAAUUUUGUUAUAUUAUGAAGAAACAUGGUAUUACACUUUCUCAAAAGAAAGCUGAGAUAGCUAAAACAGAUAUAUAAUUUUUAGGAUUAUUUAUAAAAGAAGGAGAAUUGCAAUUGCAAUCUCAUAUUGGAGAAAAAUUUCAAGAUUUUCCUAAAGAGAUCAAAGAUAAAAAACAAUUAUAAAGCUUCCUUGAUAUAUUGAAUUAUGCUGAAGGAUUCAUUGAAAAUUGUGCCAAACUAAAAAAUUAUUUUCUUCCAAAGUUAAGAAAAAAUGUAAUAUGGUCUUGGGAAAAACAAGAUUGUGAAAAUAUAAGGAAGGUGAAAGAAGAAUUAAAGGUAUUGCCCAAACUUAUAAUUCCACAAGAAGAAGAUUUCUUUAUCCUUGAAACUGAUUCUUCAAACAAUUACUGGGGAGCAGUAUUAAAGGUUAAAAAGAAUCAUAAGGAAUAUAAAUGUGAAAAGAAUUGCUCUUGUCCUGAGAUUCUUGCAGGUUAUAUAUCAGGAACAUUCAAAGAAGUUGAAACGAGAUAUGGGACGAACAGAAAAGAACUCAUUGCUAUAAAAAGGGGAGUUCAAAAAUAUGAAGAUUAUUUAUUAACAAAAAAAUUCUUGAUUAAAGCUGAUAAUACUUAAGUUAAAGUUUUUUUGAAAAAUAAUGUUGAUCCAUCUAUUGCCAAUAGAUAUAUUAUCAGGAUACAAAUUUGGUUUUCAUAUUUCAAAUUUGAUAUCGAAUAUAUAAAAGGUAAAACUAACUUUCUUCCUAAUUAUCUUAGCAGGGAUGGAGUUAGAGCAACUAAGGAUGAAAGUCCAAAUACUUGAGAUAAAAGUUUCCUAUUUGAAAACUCAAAUUCAAAAUAUCCAAGAUAGUCUUCAAGGCAAAAAUAUAGCCCUUGAGACAGAAGUAACUUGUACCAAGUCUAGUAUCCCUUCAUAGGGACCAGUAAAUACUAGCGCUCUCCCCGAGGAUAAAGGGAAAGAUAAGAAGGUAGUAGGAACCCCUUCACAGGGAAUACAUAAGCCUAUUACUGGUAAUGAAGAUAUUCAAAAUAUCAAAAGCGAAGGUAACUCUUCACAGAGCCAAACUAAAUCUAAACUUUCUAUUGAAAGAAUAAAUCCAAAAGAUAUUGUCAAAAUAUGCAAUGAGACAAAAUUUCCCAAAAGAUAACCUGAAUAAGUCAUAUUCUUUAUUGUUAUUUUUAAUGUUUUAUCAGAUUGGUAUCUGGAAAUAGGAAAGUGGAUGAAAACUCUCCACUAUGCAAAAUACAACAAGAUAAACUUCUAUCCAGAAGCACCAGCCAAUUGGGUAUGAAACUAUUUUGAGAUAGGAAAUAUACUCUGUAUAUAUCCCAGCAAAGAUCUCAAAAAAAUAGCCCAGCUUUCAGCCAACGUCAGAAAAGCUGUAAAAAGAUACACUGAAGUAGUCAAGACAACCAACGUAUAUAUCAGAUUCCAUUCAGCAACUAUGGAAUGAGAUCCCGUUCUUAAACAUAUGCAUCCAUCAUUUCAUGUUAUUAAAACGGGACUUACAAACCAACAUUUUUUACAAACCAAUCAAAAGAUUGUUAAAAAUGGAUACCAAGAUAUUAUAAAUAUAAUGCCCUACAGAAGAGCAAAAGGGUACAAAAAAAUAUUUGAAUAUGUAACUCAGAUUAUUACUGAGAAAGAAAAAAUAUGGAUUUAUCCAUCUGAAGACCAUAUAAUCUACUCCAAUGCAAGGAUAGCUACAAAUGAAGAAGAUAUAUGUUAUCUUGACCAAUUAUUAUCUGCAAUUAUUUCAAACCAAGUACAUGGAUCAGAAGAUAUGGCGAAAGAACUGUGCAAACUACUCUGGAACUACAGUAACGACCAUUGUGAAUACUGCGUAGUGGAAGAUAUGAGUCAAACAUCUCUCAACAGUGAAGAAUUCCUUGCAGAAUUCUUUAAUUUGAAGAUGAAAAAGUGAUAGAAACAAAAGUGGCCCUUUAUCACUACUUUAAUAAAGAAAUUUAUUAAAGAAAAACUGUGGCUACUAGAAAAUAGAAGAUAGCAAAAGAAAGUCUUCAUAAUCGUGACUACUCACCUACUGGUUGUCAUAAGUGAAAGACAAUUUCAAAGAUAAGGCAGAUAAUUUCUAAAAGAGAGAUCCACCUAGCAAGAAAAUAAUGGAGAAAUCGGCGGAGAUAAGACUACUGAGCCACCCAACAAAAGAAAAAAAGAGACACCUGUCAAGAUAAGAUUCUCAAAAUUUUCUAUAAAAGGGAGGAGAGAAAAGAAAGAGAGCAGUUCAAAGAACACUCUGAAAAAUCAUAUCUCAAAGAUAGAUUUUUUGUAAUCUGUAUACACCACUUGUAUUUAGAAAAUUUUUAGAUAGUCAGAGGAGAGCAAAGCUUGUAAUAAGGUAAUCACUUAUGGAGUUCUAAACUUCAUAAGGUGAGUACCAAAGAUAUGUAAAUAUAGAUUGUAAGCAUGCACUAUUUUAGUUUAUGAAUAUUAAAGUAAAGUUUGUUAUGUUCAACAAAACUUUCAUAAAAGGAUUUCGUUAAGUUUCUCAUGAUUCCUCGGCAGUACAAAUAGAGAUUUUAAAAGAUUUUCAAAACAUUGAUUUUGAAUGGAUGUUAGCCAUGCAAAAGUACCCGUCUUUGAUGAAUGGUUUAGGGGAAAAAGGUAGUUUUCUAACAAAAUUGUAGCACCUUGUGUGUGUUAUCUUUUAAAAUUUCAUUCCAAGUAAGAACUAGAUUCUGAAAAGAGUCUGAAUAGAGGUGAAAACAGAGACUCUGAAUACUGUGAGAUAGCGUCUAUGGUAACACGGCUAGUUCUCUAGAAUGAGAAAUGCAACCUUAAUUGAAAAGCCUUUGUGCGGAAGCAGUUUUGGACCCAAAUAAUUUCAAAAAAACAUUUUAAACUUUUACUUGAUUCAGAAGAUUGUUUAAGUACAUGCAAAAUAUCUAUAAGAGCAUACUGGAGGGAAAGCCUGUUUACUUUUAUAUUACUGUAAGUUAUUUACUCGCUUUUACAUGCUUAUGCUUUGAUUAAUUUUGAUGAACACUUCACAAGUAUCCACAUCCACUUCUAAAGAUGAUAAUGAUCCUAGAUUAUAUUUAGAUAAGAAAGAUAUUUCGUUUGUACUUAAAUUAGAAGUACAUGCAAAAUAUCUAUAAGAGCAUACUGGAGGGAAAGCCUGUUUACUUUUAUAUUACUGUAAGUUAUUUACUCGCUUUUACAUGCUUAUGCUUUGAUUAAUUUUGAUGAACACUUCACAAGUAUCCACAUCCACUUCUAAAGAUGAUAAUGAUCCUAGAUUAUAUUUAGAUAAGAAAGAUAUUUCGUUUGUACUUAAAUUAACUGAAAAAUCUGAAAACAUAUUUUCUAUUGGCCAAGAAAAACUUGAAGAAAUAUAUUGAAAUAUAGAUUAUUAUUGUGAGUAUAAUAUAAGAUUUGAUUCUGUAAGAACUAGUAGAGAAAUAAAAAAGGUAGAAGAUAUUAUAACUAAAUAUAAAGAUAUGCAAGAAGAAGUUUCAGAAGGAAUAAUUUUAGGAUAUAUAACUAAAAAAGAUCAGCCUAGAAUCUUUGAAGAAUUAUCAAGAUAUAGAGAAUAUUUAGAGGUAUUUGAAAAAUUAAAAAAUACAAACAUAAGUCCUGAUUAAUGAAUCUCGAAAGGAGAAGGAUACAUCUUGCAAAUAAUAAAAGUAAGGGUAAAAUAGUAUUUCCAAUAGCAAAGGCCAUUGUGAAAAAUAGAAUCAAUAUUCUGGCCAUUCAGAAGAUUGGUCCGAAUAAAAUGGCAAAAAGGUCCUCUUUGGGAAGUUAAUUACCCAUUAGAAUAAAUCUUCAGUAUCAAUUCAGAUCUAAUUCAUUGAAAAGUUAGGUGGGCUUCUUGAAUUUUGAGGAUUUAUUUGAUUUUCUUAAGGUUCUUGAAAGGGGAUUCUAUUAUAAUCUUGCAGAAUGCAAGGAGAAAAAGUGGCAAAAAG